CGUCAGAAAACAAACGCCAUUGUAACAGUCUGCAUCUUCUCCUGCACUUCAACAACAUCAGCGAAGGAGACUGAAACAAUUCUUUUACAACCAAAAGAGGAAAAUAGAGUUGUUAAGAAAGACACGAAAACAGCCUGUGGUUUUCUCGAAUUGUCUUCAUUUAUCUGCGAAAACACACUGAGCAGGUAAAAUGGGCCGGAUCUUCUUGGAUCACAUUGGUGGGACUCGCCUCUUCUCCUGCGCUAACUGUGACACCAUCCUGACCAACCGAGCUGAACUGAUCUCCACACGCUUCACAGGAGCCACAGGCCGAGCCUUCCUCUUCAAUAAGGUGGUGAAUUUACAACACAGCGAGGUGCAGGACAGAGUCAUGCUGACCGGGAGACACAUGGUGCGAGACGUCAGCUGCAAAAACUGCAAUAGUAAGCUCGGCUGGAUGUACGAGUUCGCCACGGAGGAAAGUCAGCGCUACAAGGAAGGCCGUGUCAUCCUAGAGAGGGCGCUGGUGAGGGAGAGCGAAGGCUUUGAGCAUGUUCCCUCCGACAGUUCCUGAGCUCAGUCUGGUUAAUACUACAAUGUUCAAUCCCUGCUUUUCUUCCAGCAGCAGUGCAUGGGCUUGCAUGGACAGUGUGCCAUUUGUGAGUAGUACUACGCCACUAUAAUAUCACAGGCUGUGGGAAGUUCAAACAAGAAGUAGUGGAUUUUCCCAUUAGUUUAAACAUCUGGGAAUGUCUCGUAAACAGGACAACACAUUGCUUCUGUACCCCUUUAUGAUCUCCUGCAUUAUCAGCAUGUGCAUAACAGGCUGUGAUGUCGGUAAAAUGUGUCAGAGGCAGCUGACGGAGGCAGAGGAUUCACUCCUGCUGUCGUAUAAGAAUCUCAGUCAGAAAGGUAGUGAUGUCAGGAUCAGAUUAAAUAUUAGCGGGUUGACUCAGAACAGAUGAGUGGGUCAUUGAUGAUGGCUGAGUCUGAUUAAGUUGAGAGAGAGAGAGAGAGAGAGAGAGAGACGUAUUCUGCAAAACAUUCCUCUUCUAGCUAGUGUUAAUGUGAUGCUAUGCUAGAACAUCUUUAUUUUAAAUACAUAUUAAAUUACAUGUAAAUAAUAAUAGUUGUGCGAGUAUAUUUACUAAUAAAAUAGCAUUAGAAAUAUCAACACUUUUUAAAGGGGCAAUUUGUAAGAUUAACUUUCAAAAAUGAACCAUAUUAAAAUUAUCAGAGGGUAGCAGAUGUUUGCCAAAAUGAUAUGGUGUCGAGUCUGUCCCAAAUGUCUUAUGUCUAGCAAAACUAUGGGCUGUUUCACACCUGCUUGUUUGUUUUGGACAUUGAAAAUUCUGUGAUUGAUCCAAACCAAAUUUGUUGACAUGAAGCCUCUCUUAGACCAUAUCACGGACCAAACAGUUGCCCUUUGGACCAGAGGUUCUUGGACCCGAUCAAACUGAACUAUGGGUUGAUUUGAUUGAUUGGCUUGAUAUGAUUUGGAUUUUCAAACCAAUUACAGGAUGUUACAUAAGGCAACCACCGCCCAAAAAACAAGUUUGACUUGUUAACCGAAUUAACAACAUGCCAGUGUCACACAGGUUAACAAUGUGAUUAUGUAAUUUCUUUUAUUAAUGCUAAACUGAUAACCACUUCAUGCCUAGUCUAUCCAAUCAGGAUUUGGAAAGACCUCAUGUUUGUAGGGGACGAGGAUUAGCAUCAAGAUGUCUAGGAAGAUGUGGGGGAGCAUUAAGACCUGAACUUGAUACUGUCCCAUUUUAUGCUUUAUGCUUGAGCUACAUCAUUACAUCACUGUAUUUGUUUGAAGAUGAUGGAAAGAGAUAAGCCAAGGCUAACCAAUGAGUGGGCUAACUACAGUAGAUAUGUCAGCAACACAACAUUUUGAUGUCUUAAAAUAACAUCACACUUUUUAUUUAUUCACACACUGAUGAUUUGAAAUUGUUAAAAUUGAUCAUUUUGUUGAACGGUUUGAACAAAAAAA